CUUCGGGUUGAGUGGCGGACGGGUGAGUAACGCGUGAGAAUCUGCCUUGGGGUCGGGGACAACCACUGGAAACGGUGGCUAAUACCGGAUAAGCCUUUGGGUAAAAAAUUUAUUGCCCCAAGAGGAGCUCGCGUCUGAUUAGCUAGUUGGUGAGGUAAAAGCUCACCAAGGCAGCGAUCAGUAGCUGGUCUGAGAGGACGAUCAGCCACACUGGGACUGAGACACGGCCCAGACUCCUACGGGAGGCAGCAGUGGGGAAUUUUCCGCAAUGGGCGAAAGCCUGACGGAGCAAGACCGCGUGAGGGAGGAAGGCUCUUGGGUUGUAAACCUCUUUUCUCAGGGAAGAAGCUCUGACGGUACCUGAGGAAUCAGCCUCGGCUAACUCCGUGCCAGCAGCCGCGGUAAUACGGAGGAGGCAAGCGUUAUCCGGAACUAUUGGGCGUAAAGCGUCCGCAGGUGGCGAUUCAAGUCUGCUGUCAAAGCACGGGGCUUAACUCCGUUAAGGCAGUGGAAACUGAAUAGCUAGAGUGCAGUAGGGGUAGAGGGAAUUCCCGGUGUAACGGUGAAAUGCGUAGAGAUCGGGAAGAACAUCGGUGGCGAAAGCAGCUCUACUGGACGGCAACU
rnacentral:rRNA from 1 species